GACAGCGGCGAUAGCACGUUGAAACGUUGAAUGCACCAGUUCCCCAUGGGUCACUGAAGUUAAGCAACGUUGCGCGUGGUUGGUAUGGGUGAUCAUCUGGACAAUCGCGUCCUGUUGGCU
rfam:Asian citrus Psyllid, Diaphorina citri - Florida Strain, whole genome shotgun sequence.